rnacentral:rRNA from 1 species
GAAUCUUAGACAAUGGGCGCAAGCCUGAUCCAGCAAUGCCGCGUGUGUGAAGAAGGCCUUCGGGUUGUAAAGCACUUUAAGUUGGGAGGAAAAGCUGAGGGUUAAUAGCCUUUAGUGUUGACGUUACCAACAGCAUAAGCACCGGCUAACUCCGUGCCAGCAGCCGCGGUAAUACGGAGGGUGCAAGCGUUAAUCGGAAUUACUGGGCGUAAAGCGCGCGUAGGCGGUUAUUUAAGUCAGAUGUGAAAGCCCCGGGCUUAACCUGGGAAUGGCAUUUGAGACUGGAUGGCUAGAGUAUGGUAGAGGUGAGUGGAAUUUCAGGUGUAGCGGUGAAAUGCGUAGAGAUCUGAAGGAACAUCAGUGGCGAAGGCGACUCACUGGGCCAUUACUGACGCUGAGGUGCGAAAGCGUGGGUAGCAAACAGG